rnacentral:rRNA from 1 species
GUCUACAGCCAUACCACCCUGAACAAGCCCGAUCCCAUCUGAUCUCGGGAGCUAAGCAAAGGUUGGGCCUGGUUAGUACUUGGAUGGGAGACCAUCUAGGAAGACCAGGUGCUGUAAGCA